AUGUCAGGGUUACAUGAAGAGGGAGAAUGCCGGCAGCUGGAAUUCAGGCCUGGAAAAGGAGCAAAUAUUAGAGACCUAUUCUGCACAACUCCAAAAGUCUUGAAACUUCACGGAGGCAUGUUUUGGAAUGUAUCAAAAAUACUGGCGAAAGAAUCAACUAGAGGGGGCCCACACCCUGGCCACGAGGGUGGGGGCGCGCCCCCUGUCUCGUGGGCCCCCUGGCAGGCCUCCGGUGACCAUAUUCUGCUAUAUGAAGUCUUUCAUCUGAGAAAAAAUGAGGAGGAAGCUUUCGGGACGAAACAUCGCCGCCACGAGGCGGAACCUUGGCGGAACCAAUCUAGGGCUCCGGCGGAGCUGUUCUGCCGGGGAAACAUCCCUCCGGGAGGGGGAAAUCAUCACCAUCGUCAUCACCAUCGAUCCUCUCAGCGGGAGGGGGUCAAUCUCCAUCAACAUCUUCAACAGCACCAUCUCCUCUAA
rnacentral:rRNA from 1 species